rnacentral:rRNA from 1 species
UACGUAGGGGGCAAGCGUUGUCCGGAUUCAUUGGGCGUAAAGAGCGUGUAGGCGGCCAGGUAGGUCGGUUGUGAAAACUGGAGGCUCAACCUUCAGAGGUCGACCGAAACCAUCUGGCUAGAGUCCGGGAGAGGAGAGUGGAAUUCCUGGUGUAGCGGUGAAAUGCGUAGAGAUCUGGAAGAACACCAAAGGCGAAGGCAGCAUCCUGGGAAGUUCCUGACGCUCGGGUGCGAAAGCCAGGGGAGCGAACGGG